GUAGAAAGGCGGGGGGAGGGGGAGGUGAAAGAAACGAAAAAUAAGUCACGCCCUCUCUCCUGCCUCCCGGAAGGAGCUGGCGCCGGCCCCCGACCCGGCCUGACAGGGGAAAAGGGGGGGGAGGGGGGAAAGGGCGGAAGGGAGAGGGGAGGGGGGGAGGAAAAGCGGCCUUAGGGAUUCAAGCGCGGGCGAGAUCCGGGAACCACGUGUUCGGUGCUGGGUGCCUAUGGAGGCUGGAGUAAACCCCUUUCCCAAGAGGCGGCCGUCUGAGUCCUCAAGCGAGAGGGAGCCUCCUUCGUUCUGCGUCCCCCGGGAGCUCGCCUGUUUUUUUCCAGCCCCCCAGCUUCUAUGGACACGUGGGAGCGACGGACUAUCUCGGAGAAGCUUCUGCGCCCCCACCUCCACUCAUUCUGCGUCCUUGAGCAGCAGAAGCGCUGAGCGCUCACCACUAGUUCCCUGGUGGUGGCAGAGAGGGCGAGCACGUUCCUGCCACCGGGCGCCCUCCUCCUAGCCCAGGCUGUGAGAGCAGAUGAUUGCUCGGUGGAGCAGAUGCUUCUGUAAGAUCCCCCUCCCCUCGGCGGACUGCACGCUGCUUCCACCUAAUCCAUUUAAGAAACCUGUCUCUAGCCUCUCCCAGAGACCGUAAUAACGAGCAAACACGCGGCCCAUCCUUUCAUUGUUUACAAUCCAACUCAACAAAUAGUUGUUUGAGUAUUUUCUCUGUUCCAAGCUAAGGAAAAGAAUAGACCUUUAUCCUCAAGAAGUUAAUACCUAGUUAGAAGAAACCAGAGACCUGCAAUAUCAGACAAAAUAGUAAGUGAUCUAAGAAGUGGAAAGCACAAAUAAGACUUUUCUUCCCAUUCUCACCCUCCCACCCGAAGAGAACUCACUAGGAUGUCUUUUCAUUUCUCCUCUAACAUUGAAACAUGUUAAAACCCUAAAAUUUGUCAAAAUGUGCCAUUUCUAAAAUGUUUCAAGUAUCUGUUUCACAAAAGCCUGUGCAAUGCUCAGCUUGUGGUAUUUAAUGUUAAUUUAAAGUUCUGGUUAUUGUAUGUGAAUCUCUUGAUUAUAAAGAAAAAUUUAAUACCAAAGAGUAAAUUAGUGCUUACAGA